rnacentral:rRNA from 1 species
AUUGAACGCUGGCGGCAGGCCUAACACAUGCAAGUCGAACGAGUUUCUUACUUGUGAUUAAUUUCUGGGAAACUUCCCGAUGGAGGGGGCUAACUCCUUGACACGGUAGCUAAUACCUCAUCCCAUCGUAUUUUCCCAGAUGGGAUUAGCUAGUAGGUGGGGUAACGGCUCACCUAGGCGACGAUCCCUAGCUGGUCUGAGAGGAUGACCAGCCACACUGGAACUGAGACACGGUCCAGACUCCUACGUGAGGCAGCAGUGGGGAAUAUUGCACAAUGGGCGCAAGCCUGAUGCAGCCAUGCCGCGUGUAUGAAGAAGGCCUUCGGGUUGUAAAGUACUUUCAGCGAGGAGGCGUUACUAGCAGAAGAAGCACCGGCUAACUCCGUGCCAGCAGCCGCGGUAAUAG